CCCCGAGGCAGGUACCUCAGUAACAGUUUAGUAUCUGCGAGAGAGAACACAGAUUAAGACCACAAUUCACAAAAGCCUACUACAGAAAGUAGAGAUACAAGGUCCCUUCAUGUGAAGAUUACUGGUUGCACACGGCCUCCAGAAACUCACUGGAUAACUGGAAAAAACUCAGUGUAUCACAAAGCAAAUAUAAUAAAAGGUCAACAUUUGAAGAAACUGGAUAAACGGUAUACAGGAUUCUUUGCAACAUUUUUUCCACACUUUUCUGGUUCCUUAUUUCACUCUGCCAACUUUAAAGAGUCUUAGCUAAAACUGAAUCAAGAGCUGUGGAUACAGACUGGACUGAAGCUGGAUAGUGUGUAAACCAGAGAGUCAAGACCAGCAAUGAAGGACCCAGGCCUGAAACAUCAAUUUUCUCUCAGCAAACCCAGAGAAACUAUGAACAGAAUCCUCAAGCAACACUAAAUACAGCAAUAUCAAUUAUGAGACAAGCUGUUAAUGAUUCAUCCAGGAAGCAGAGCAAAUGCCAAGAUGCCACUGCAGGCAAAAGUCGAAGGGCGCAUCCAUCAGAGUGUCAUAUGCCAAAGCAAACCCUCAAAAGUUGGCUGAUAAAUCUAAAUACAUAAUCUCAAUAACUUCAUAAUAUCAGAAGCCAAACACACACACAUUCUCUCUCUGUUCCUUUCAAAAAAGCAUAUGCUUCUAUACUGACUCACGCUAUGUAUUUCUUUAUUCCUAUAUAAAUAAUAUUUAUUCUCAUAUUAUAGUGAUCACUAUAUUGCCACAUUUCUAAAGGCCUGGUCAAUACAGAAACACCAUUAUACCUAGGUUUUCCACACACCUGACAUGACUACUAUUUUCUAAUAAAAAUUUACACAUGUGAAUUCCAUUACUGUAUUGAUUUGCUCUAGGAGCAAAGAUGCACAAGACAAAAACAUGUUGUAACUUGUGCCUCUUAAGAAACCAGAGCAAAAUUACUUUCCAGAGAGAAGCUGAGUAGGUGGUUCUCUAUGUUACUCAAAUUCCAACUGUCAGCAAAUCUCAGCACACAUAAUAAAACAAAUUUGCCAAAUAGUUUUUUUUUGGGGGGGGGAACAUGGUAAUCUAAAUGCUUUACUCUCUGCAAAACUGAAUUUUGCUUUCAAGAGAAAUCUUUAGUUAGCCUAAGUACAACAGUGAAAGACUUGAAAGUACAUAUAUCAUUAUACAGUAAUUUUGUUUUUAACUAGGUCAAUGAAUAGCACUAUGUAAGCAUAUAUAAUGUAUAGAC